rnacentral:rRNA from 1 species
GGGGCUCAAACCUAAAGAACCUAAAUAUCUAAACGGAAAGAUUCAAUAUUGUUGUAAAAGACAAUGUGCACUUCUUUCUUAGUAAGAUGCUGUGAUUCAUUAGAAAUUGAUCAUUUCAUUGAUUAUGAGGCUAUCAAUAGGCCAACAUGAAGUUCAUCAAUAUGAAUGAUAUGAUCUUUAAUGGUCGUGUGUAUUGUAUGGUGAGCAUGUUGUGUUCUGAUAUAGCUGUCUGAUGGAUUUUAAAGUUCAUAUUAUUGAUGUUUCGACAUCACUCAUAUUUGAGUUGAAUAUGUAACCGAUCAACAGCACUAAAUUUGGGAUACCUUUUGGACCCGUCUUGAAACACGGACCAAGGAGUUUAUCUAAUAUGCGAGUAAAUGAGUAAUAGGAUUUAAACUUAUUUGCGUAAAUAAAUUAACUGUUUUUAUGGGAUUACGAGCAAUGCCUUAUACGUAUUACUCUUCCAUCCCGGGGUAUUUUUAUCAACAUAUGCAGCAAUGUAUAUGGAAAAUAUACCAUGAGCAUACUGGAUAUGACCCGAAAGAUGGUGAACUAUGCUUGAUCAGGUUGAAGUCAGGGGAAACCCUGAUGGAAGACCGAAGCAGUUCUGACGUGCAAAUCG